rnacentral:rRNA from 1 species
CCCUUAGAUGUCCUGGGCUGCACGCGCGCUACACUGACACGUUCAACGAGUUUUGCCUGCUCCGAUGGGACUGGGUAAUCUUAUGAAAGCGUGUCGUGAUGGGGAUAGAUUAUUGCAAUUAUUAAUCUUCAACGAGGAAUUCCUAGUAAGUACAAGUCAUCAGCUUGUGCUGAUUACGUCCCUGCCCUUUGUACACACCGCCCGUCGCUCCUACCGAUUGGGUGAUCCGGUGAAUAACUCGGACUGCAGCUAUUCGGGAGACCGUUAGCUUGCGGAAAGUUUAGUAAAUCUUAUCACUUAGAGGAAGGAGAAGUCGUAACA